AGAAUCAACGCUGGCGGCGUGCCUAACACAUGCAAGUCGAACGAGAAAGUGGAGCAAUCCAUGAGUACAGUGGCGCACGGGUGAGUAACACGUGACUAACCUACCCUUGAGUUCGGAAUAACUUCGGGAAACCGAGGCUAAUACCGGAUAAUAUCUACGGAUCAAAGGAGCAAUUCGCUUAAGGAGGGGGUCGCGGCAGAUUAGUUAGUUGGCGGGGUAAUGGCCCACCAAGACGAUGAUCUGUAUCCGGCCUGAGAGGGCGCACGGACACACUGGAACUGAAACACGGUCCAGACUCCUACGGGAGGCAGCAGUGGGGAAUUUGCGCAAUGGGGGAAACCCUGACGCAGCAACGCCGCGUGGAGGAUGAAAUCCCUUGGGAUGUAAACUCCUUUCGAUCGGGACGAUUAUGACGGUACCGGAAGAAGAAGCCCGGCUAACUUCGUGCCAGCAGCCGC
rnacentral:rRNA from 1 species